rnacentral:lncRNA from 1 species
AGAUCCUGCCACCCAGAUACUUAUACUCUAUGACCAUUAUGCUUUAUUUCUGGGCUCCUAAAUCUACUUUGUUUUGGAAGUAAUUCAGAUAUCAGAUUUAUGUAGUUAUAAUCUUGUCUUUUAGAUCCUCAUGCACUGUUUCUCAUUGUCAAUAUUUUCACUACAUCGCUCAAAUAUUUACUCUUCAAGAUGGAUUCUGCAAUCAUUUUGUCAGGAACAAAAAAAAUAUGAUAUUGAGAGUUUCAUUGAAAAAGUAACAUAUAAAUAUGAAUUUAAGGAACACUGACAUGUUUGAAAUAGUGAUGUUUUCCACCUAGGAACAAAGUAUUUCUCCCUUAAUUCAAUUCUCCUUUUGGUCCUUUGCCAGGUUCUACAGUCCUUUUACAUUAUUUUUAAUACUGUAAGCAGCCUUUCUCUGCAUGAAAGAGAACAAAUACUUUUAGAAGAAAAAUGUUAUUCUGAAUGUCCUGUGCUUAAUUACAUAGGCCUUCCAUCUCGUGCAGAUAUCCUGAGAAUGUAAUGAGUCUUGGUCCUCCUGCUCAGAGUGUGCUGGACUGGCAUCCUGAGGCUCCGGCUGCAGCUACAAUUUUAUCAUUUCCUGUUUUCUCACUUCUGGGAAUCCCAGACAUCCUUCUAGAACUUCCUGUGCCAUCAAUACUGAACAUGUGACAUUCUAGGCAACUUCACUCCUGACAUCUUUUUAUGAGAACAAUGUUUUUGAAGAUUCUAAGCUCUGGAAGAAUAAGCGUGGAUUAUGACAAAAAUUUCUCAGGGUGCUGGCAGGUGGCCCAAUGCCACGCAUCUGGAAACCUACCCUGGACAUGUGGUGUUUCCUCCACUUACAGAGACCUGAGGGUGAGGAAAGAGAAAGUUUCCCAUUUCAAAGCUACAGAUCUUCCUUCUUUGAUACCCAAGCCUGAGUCCCAGAUCUCAUUGUCCUUUCUUUGUUUCAGCAGAAGCUUAAAAGAGUCUUUUGAUAUACAAAGGCAGGCCCAAUACAAGUGCAAAAUGAAAAGCCCAAUUUCUCUGCAUAAUAAAGUAAAGAGAAUUGAUGGUCACCUGAAAUAAGGUAAAAGUGGUAUUAAGAGGGUAACUGAAACAGGAGUGGAAGGGGCAGAAAUGACCACGGAACAUGUAAGUCCCAGAGGAACUGGAUAAUAGAACCAAUUUGAUUUAAAUUGCAAAAAAGCGAGGUGACCUUAGCUACCAUUUGGGUUAUGCAAUUCACCUCUCUUAACAGAACAUGCAGGCUGAGCACAACUUUCUCUCCACAGAAUAAACGUUGGGAACUGAGUCA